GAUGAACGCUAGCGGCAGGCUUAACACAUGCAAGUCGAGGGGUAGAGGAAGCUUGCUUCCUUGAGACCGGCGCACGGGUGCGUAACGCGUAUACAAUCUACCUUUUACAGAGGGAUAGCCCAGAGAAAUUUGGAUUAAUACCUCAUAGUAUUUUCGGAUCGCAUGAUUUGAUUAUUAAAGUUCCAACGGUAAAGAUGAGUAUGCGUCCCAUUAGCUAGAUGGUAAGGUAACGCUUACCAUGGCAAUGAUGGGUAGGGGUCCUGAGAGGGUAGAUCCCCCCANACUGGUACUGAGACACGGACC
rnacentral:rRNA from 1 species